rnacentral:rRNA from 1 species
GUCCACGCCCUAAACUAUGUCAACUGGUUGUCGGGGGAUUAAUUACCCUUGGUAACGAAGCUAACGCGUGAAGUUGACCGCCUGGGGAGGUACGGCCGCAAGGUUAAAACUCAAAGGAAUUGACGGGGACCCGCACAAGCGGUGGAUUAUGUGGAUUAAUUCGAUGCAACGCGAAAAACCUUACCUACCCUUGACAUGCUAGGAAGCUCGCAGAGAUGUGAGUGUGCCCGAAAGGGAACCUAGACACAGGUGCUGCAUGGCUGUCGU